rnacentral:rRNA from 1 species
CUCCGGUUGAUCCCGCCGGACCCGACUGCUAUCAGAGUGGGACUAAGCCAUGCGAGUCAACAUAGCAAUAUGUGGCAUACGGCUCAGUAACACGUAGUCAACAUGCCCAGGGGACGUGGAUAACCUCGGGAAACUGAGGAUAAACCGCGAUAGGUCAUCACUUCUGGAAUGGAUAAUGACUUAAAUCUAUAUGGCCCCUGGAUUGGACUGCGGCCGAUCAGGCUGUUGGUGAGGUAAUGGCCCACCAAACCUGUAACCGGUACGGGCUCUGAGAGGAGGAGCCCGGAGAUGGGCACUGAGACAAGGGCCCAGGCCCUAUGGGGCGCAGCAGGCGCGAAACCUCUGCAAUAGGCGAAAGCUUGACAGGGUUACUCUGAGUGAUUUCCGUUAAGGAGAUCUUUUGGCACCUCUAAAAAUGGUGCAGAAUAAGGGGUGGGCAAGUCUGGUGUCAGCCGCCGCGGUAAUACCAGCACCCCGAGUGGUCGGGACGUUUAUUGGGCCUAAAGCAUCCGUAGCCGGUUCUACAAGUCUUCCGUUAAAUCCACCUGCUUAACAGAUGGGCUGCGGAAGAUACUAUAGAGCUAGGAGGCGGGAGAGGCAAGCGGUACUCGAUGGGUAGGGGUAAAAUCCGUUGAUCCAUUGAAGACCACCAGUGGCGAAGGCGGCUUGCCAGAACGCGCUCGACGGUGAGGGAUGAAAGCUGGGGGAGCAAACCGGAUUAGAUACCCGGGUAGUCCCAGCUGUAAACGAUGCAGACUCGGUGAUGAGUUGGCUUAUUGCUAACUCAGUGCCGCAGGGAAGCCGUUAAGUUUGCCGCCUGGGGAGUACGGUCGCAAGACUGAAACUUAAAGGAAUUGGCGGGGGAGCA